rnacentral:rRNA from 1 species
UACGUAGGGACCGAGCGUUGUCCGGAAUCAUUGGGCGUAAAGGGUGCGUAGGCGGCGCGGUAAGUCGGGUGUGAAAUCUCGGAGCUUAACUCCGAAACUGCAUUCGAUACUGCCGUGCUCGAGGACUGGAGAGGAGACUGGAAUUUACGGUGUAGCGGUGAAAUGCGUAGAUAUCGUAAGGAAGACCAGUGGCGAAGGCGGGUCUCUGGACAGUUCCUGACGCUGAGGCACGAAGGCCAGGGGAGCAAACGGG